rnacentral:rRNA from 1 species
UACGUAGGGCGCAAGCGUUGUCCGGAAUUAUUGGGCGUAAAGAGCUCGUAGGCGGCUUGUCGCGUCGGAUGUGAAAGCCCGGGGCUUAACCCCGGGUCUGCAUUCGAUACGGGCAGGCUGGAGUGUGGUAGGGGAGAUCGGAAUUCCUGGUGUAGCGGUGAAAUGCGCAGAUAUCAGGAGGAACACCGGUGGCGAAGGCGGAUCUCUGGGCCAUUACUGACGCUGAGGAGCGAAAGCGUGGGGAGCGAACAGG